AUUGAACGCUGGCGGCAGGCCUAACACAUGCAAGUCGAGCGGAUGAAGGGAGCUUGCUCCUGGAUUCAGCGGCGGACGGGUGAGUAAUGCCUAGGAAUCUGCCUGGUAGUGGGGGAUAACGUCCGGAAACGGGCGCUAAUACCGCAUACGUCCUGAGGGAGAAAGUGGGGGAUCUUCGGACCUCACGCUAUCAGAUGAGCCUAGGUCGGAUUAGCUAGUUGGUGGGGUAAAGGCCUACCAAGGCGACGAUCCGUAACUGGUCUGAGAGGAUGAUCAGUCACACUGGAACUGAGACACGGUCCAGACUCCUACGGGAGGCAGCAGUGGGGAAUAUUGGACAAUGGGCGAAAGCCUGAUCCAGCCAUGCCGCGUGUGAAGAUGGUCUUCGGAUUGUAAAGCACUUUAAGUUGGGAGGAAGGGCAGUAAGUUAAUACCUUGCUGUUUUGACGUUACCAACAGAAUAAGCACCGGCUAACUUCGUG
rnacentral:rRNA from 1 species